rnacentral:rRNA from 1 species
CCUACGGGUGGCAGCAGUGGGGAAUAUUGCACAAUGGGCGCAAGCCUGAUGCAGCCAUGCCGCGUGUGUGAAGAAGGCCUUCGGGUUGUAAAGCACUUUCAGCGGGGAGGAAGGCGGUGAGGUUAAUAACCUCAUCGAUUGACGUUACCCGCAGAAGAAGCACCGGCUAACUCCGUGCCAGCAGCCGCGGUAAUACGGAGGGUGCAAGCGUUAAUCGGAAUUACUGGGCGUAAAGCGCACGCAGGCGGUCUGUCAAGUCGGAUGUGAAAUCCCCGGGCUCAACCUGGGAACUGCAUUCGAAACGGGCAGGCUAGAGUCUUGUAGAGGGGGGUAGAAUUCCAGGUGUAGCGGUGAAAUGCGUAGAGAUCUGGAGGAAUACCGGUGGCGAAGGCGGCCCCCUGGACAAAGACUGACGCUCAGGUGCGAAAGCGUGGGGAGCAAACAGGAUUAGAUACCCCGGUAGUC